CGCCCAGACUCCUACGGGAGGCAGCAGUGGGGAAUAUUGGGCAAUGGACGCAAGCCUGACCCAGCAACGCCGCGUGAAGGAAGAAGGCUUUCGGGUUGUAAACUUCUUUUAAGGGGGAAGAGCAGAAGACGGUACCCCUUGAAUAAGCCACGGCUAACUACGUGCCAGCAGCCGCGGUAAUACGUAGGGGGCGAGCGUUAUCCGGAUUCAUUGGGCGUAAGGCGCGCGUAGGCGGCCUGUUAGGUCGGGGGUCAAAUACCGGGGCUCAACCCCGGUCCGCCCCCGAUACCGGCAGGCUUGAGUCUGGUAGGGGAAGGCGGAAUUCCCAGUGUAGCGGUGGAAUGCGCAGAUAUUGGGAAGAACACCGGCGGCGAAGGCGGCCUGCUGGACCGCGACUGACGUUGAGGCUCGAAAGCGUGGGGAGCGAACAGGAUUAGAUACCCCCGUAU
rnacentral:rRNA from 1 species